CCAAACUUGGUCAUUUAGAGGAAGUAAAAGUCGUAACAAGGUUUCCGUAGGUGAACCUGCGGAAGGAUCAUUAAAGGGAAUUUGGGGCCCCGUCCCCGUCCUCCCACCCUUGAAUACUCAGGACGAUUACCAAGUUACUUCGGCGGAACUUUUCACCGCCGGGCAACCUGAACAAACCCUAUUUCAACGUGCCGUCUGAGCAAACACGAAAACAAUCAAAACUUUCAACAACGGAUCUCUUGGUUCUGGCAUCGAUGAAGAACGCAGC
rnacentral:misc_RNA from 1 species